UACAGAGGUCUCAAGCGUUGUUCGGAUUCAUUGGGCGUAAAGGGUGCGUAGGCGGCGCGGUAAGUCGGGUGUGAAAUCUCGGAGCUUAACUCCGAAACUGCAUUUGAUACUGCCGUGCUUGAGGACUGGAGAGGAGACUGGAAUUUACGGUGUAGCGGUGAAAUGCGUAGAUAUCGUAAGGAAGACCAGUGGCGAAGGCGAGUCUCUGGACAGUUCCUGACGCUGAGGCACGAAGGCCAGGGGAGCAAACGGG
rnacentral:rRNA from 1 species